UACGUAGGGCGCAAGCGUUGUCCGGAAUUAUUGGGCGUAAAGAGCUCGUAGGCGGCUUGUCACGUCGGGUGUGAAAGCCCGGGGCUUAACCCCGGGUCUGCAUUCGAUACGGGCUGGCUAGAGUGUGGUAGGGGAGAUCGGAAUUCCUGGUGUAGCGGUGAAAUGCGCAGAUAUCAGGAGGAACACCGGUGGCGAAGGCGGGUCUCUGGGCCGAUACUGACGCUGAGGAGCGAAAGCGUGGGGAGCAAACAGG
rnacentral:rRNA from 1 species